CCUGUUGAUGAUUAGGAUCUGAUCAGUUUCCUCCUUGAUGGAUUGAAAUCCAAUUUCACUCCAUUUAUAACUUCAUUCAAUUUUGCGUGCCGUGAAAAGGAAUUUAGCAUUGAUGAUUUUCAGGCUGAGUUAUUGAGCUUCGAGA